rnacentral:rRNA from 1 species
UGGGGAAUAUUGCACAAUGGGCGCAAGCCUGAUGCAGCCAUGCCGCGUGUGUGAAGAAGGCCUUGGGUUGUAAAGCACUUUCAGCGGGGAGGAAGGCAAUAAGGUUAAUAACCUUGUUGAUUGACGUUACCCGCAGAAGAAGCACCGGCUAACUCCGCGCCAC